rnacentral:lncRNA from 1 species
CAGAAAGAGGGAUUUUGGGAGAAAAAUAUGGACAAGGGAGACUACUUCAUUCAUAUUGAUGAUGAGGAUGGAAGGAAGCUACUUCAUUCAUAUUGAUAAGGAUUGAUGAGAUCAUGACCAUAUGACGUGCAAGAAGAAGAAAUAUGAGAUGUUGACCGAUGUAAGGAGAACAAUAAUAAUUUAUUUUACCCGUUUCUCUAUUGGCAUGGUGGCAACUUCAUUAAAUGUUUAGUGGCAAACUAAGUGUGCAUUGCAUACCAACUUAAUUGGAUAGAGGGUAAGAACUCAGUUUACUACGACUUGGAUGAUGUUAUAACAACUUCAGUAAAAAACAGUCAUAGCAACUUAUGUAGAUAUAUAUAAAAACUCACUAGAAACUUAACAUUCCAACAUAUGGAUGUACCUCACAUCUGGUAAGUGUAGCAAGUCCAAAUCCCUCAUCUCAUAUGUUUCCCUCCACCUCCUCCGCUGGCUGGCCUCAUAAGCCUCAUGGCCAGUGUGCAAUGAUCUGACGAUGACGGAAUGUGUUUUACAAUAGUUCCAAUGUUUAAGUAAUUUUAGUUUCUUGACUCGCAGCAACAAUAAUUCAGAGUGUGUAACAUUUUAAAUCCUAUAAGUAAUUUGCUAUAUAGUGGCUUUAGCGAGUGUUUAUAGCAAUUUUAGGUAGUGUUUUUUA